UUUUCCUUCUGACUCGACCUGAACCUGGCAAACCCGACCCGGAUUUUCCGGAGAGCUCUAGCAGUUCCAGGCGACGAGGCUAGCCCAGAUCGUUUCGUCUCCUCCGUGCGCGACUCCCUCUGGUGGUGGCUUACACCAGUUCGUAUUUUUCUGUGCGUAUCGAAGGUCGCAAGUCGACCCGAAACCAGUUUUGCUGAUUCCGGCGAUUUCGGGCGACAACCCCAACCCAUAUCAACUUGUUUCCUUCCCGCCUUCACUCCUAUCCGGUUGGAAUCCUUCGAGUCGACAUUGAAGUUGCUUGUUGGUUCCAAGUGUAGGGCGUCCAGCUUUAAGGUUUUCUUGCCGGCAGUGUUUUGCCAACUCUGGUCAAACACAUUGAAGCUGCAGAAAGAUAGUGGUGCGGUUAAAGAGGUGCUGGAUCAGCUAGAGUUAGCUGGUUGGGCUAAGAAAUGGACUUCUCAGCCAUAUGUGUCUCGACGUUUGACAUCUCUAAGGGAACUAACAACUCUUGGGAUUAAGAAUGCCAACAAUCUUGCAGUUCCGAGCGUCUGAAAUGAUGUUAAUGUUUGUGUUUGAGGUGAGAGAGUUCGGAGAAGUAGCGACAAUGGUAGAUCGAUUGUGUUUUAAGAAUUGUCUUGUAUUAAUUCUUUGUAAAACAUUGUAUGUGUAUUUUAUUUAAAAUCUAGUUUGAGUUGUCCUG